rnacentral:lncRNA from 1 species
ACAGCUAUAGAAUUAUUAUCACUUUACCCUUUUUACUGUCAGACUGUGAUAGAGCUCAUCUCUGGGACAUCCAUUUAGUUUGUUUUAACACAGCAACAACAAAACUGGUUUCAAGCCCCAAUUGACCAAUCUGCUUUAUUUACACUACAGGCACAGAAUACAUUCUUAAACUUUGCGGGAUCUGCCGAUAAAGUUGCCAUAAGUAGCACCCCUGGUGUUUGCAACACACAUGAGAUAAAUGCAAAUAUAGUUAAAUGCAAAAUGUAGAUACAUAUAAUUACUUAUUUGUGAUGGAGCAGAAACUGGUGGAUGGGGGGUUGAAUCAUGCCGGAUACUCGGGAAAGAGACUGGGAGGGGGCUGAAGAUGGGGGAGACUUUGGACCUGAGACUUGAGAAGGAGAGAUUAGCUGGCAUGAGAUGGUGAAGUGGAGAAGCAGACUGGAAAGCAAUUUCCUUCUUAUCCAGAAAACUGUGCUGGAGCAAGAAAGAAACGACAUUCAUUCGUUCACUGAGUAUUUACUUUGCGAUAGAACUGGAGAUACAAAGACAAACAAGACACAGUCCCUACCCCCAAGAAGUUCAUACUGUAGUAUGGAGGACAGAAUGUGAAUGAAUGAUUGCAAGACAGGGGAUACAUGUGGACACACUCUAGGGGUGCACACAGACUGUGGUGGCGGCGCCAAUAGGGUCUUCCUAGAGAAGAAUAUGCUUGAGCUAGAAUCCUUCAGGAUAUGUAGGGGACAAAAAUGGGUGGGGAAGGAAUGGAGCCAGAUGGAAGAGCAUGUCCAGUGGUGUGGAGUGGCCCAGUGGGCAUGUGCAGGCCAUUGCAAGGGUUAGGAAGGACAGAGGGGAGUCGGGAGACAGGCCGCAUCACUCAGGAGCCUGAAAGCCACGUCAAGGAGUUUUGACUUUUAGCUUAAAAGAUAUGGGCAGCUACCAAAGGUUAUUUAGAUUGGAAAGAAGCAUGAUUAUGACUUAAUUUUCCCAAGAUAAGUUAUUUCUUCAAACACUGGCAUCCUGAGGAAAAGCUGGGCUGCCUGGGGUUUUUGCAAGCAUGUUGGAGUAAGAGCAUGGCAGGGAUCAAUCAAUUGGAACUGGGCA